UACGUAGGGGGCUAGCGUUGUCCGGAAUCAUUGGGCGUAAAGAGCGUGUAGGCGGUCCGGUAAGUCCGCUGUGAAAGUCGGGGGGCUCAACCCUCGAAUGCCGGUGGAUACUGUCGGGCUAGAGUGCGGAAGAGGCGAGUGGAAUUCCUGGUGUAGCGGUGAAAUGCGCAGAUAUCAGGAGGAACACCGGUGGCGAAGGCGGGUCUCUGGGCCGAUACUGACGCUGAGGAGCGAAAGCGUGGGGAGCGAACAGG
rnacentral:rRNA from 1 species